GACGUAGGGCGCGAGCGUUGUCCGGAUUUAUUGGGCGUAAAGAGCUCGUAGGCGGCUUGUCGCGUCGACUGUGAAAACCCGCGGCUCAACUGCGGGCCUGCAGCCGAUACGGGCAGGCGUAGAGUUCGGUAGGGGAGACGUGGAAUUCCUGGUGUAGCGGUGAAAUGCGCAGAUAGUCAGGAGGAACACCGGUGGCGAAGGCGGGUCUCUGGGCCGAAUACUGA
rnacentral:rRNA from 1 species